rnacentral:tmRNA from 1 species
GGGGCUGUCUCGGCUUCGACAGGGGAACGGACGGGCUCGUAAGCAUACCGAAGGCUCGGCUUCGUAAAAACGGAAACCUAAAAUUAAACGCUAAAAACAAUCAGCAAAUCGCUUACGCUGCCUAAUUGCAGCUAAGCUGUCCCGGGGGAUCUCCACGCUCCCCUACGGACAUCGGUCAGUGGAAAAGGGUCGCGGCGAUGCGCCGCAGUCGACGCGACAAGAUCUUGCGGCUUGCCGGAACAGGCUUUGCGGACGUAGCCUGCACGGGACGAUAAACAUCCGAUAAGUAUGUAGAAAGCGGCCUGAAAAUUUUCUUGGACAGGGGUUCAACUCCCCUCAGCUCCACCA